rnacentral:rRNA from 1 species
UACGAAGGGUGCUAGCGUUGUUCGGAAUCACUGGGCGUAAAGCGCGCGUAGGCGGCUUGCCAAGUCAGAGGUGAAAUCCCACGGCUCAACCGUGGAACUGCCUUUGAAACUGUCAAGCUAGAGUGUCGGAGGGGAUAGCGGAAUUGCUAAUGUAGAGGUGAAAUUCGUAGAUAUUAGCAGGAACACCGGUGGCGAAGGCGGCUAUCUGGACGACAACUGACGCUGAGGCGCGAAAGCGUGGGGAUCAAACAGG